GAAAAUUGACGAAUCGUUUUAGGAAAUAUUUACUAAAAACUAGACUAAAUAUUUUGGACCACUUUUCAAUUUCGAGCUGUAGUUUUUCUGAGUUUAACAAAAAUCUACUGCUCACGGCUAGUGCUACUCUCUAUCGGCGGCAAACCGAGCUGCACCUUCUCUUCAAUCCAUUAUCAUUAAGCGCAACUGAACUGAACUCAUUAACGGGCUGCCAGGCACAUGAAAAUCUUCGCAAAAUGCAUUAAAUGCCGCCACCGCCGUUGUUGGGUUAACCCCAUUCACACAGGCUGGCCAAAACAAACCCAAAUAGCCAGGCUAACUAAUCAGCUGUCAUGUCUCUAAACUUCUGAGCCGAGCUGGCGGAGGAGCAUAAGCAGAAGUAGCAAAAGCAGCAGCAGCUAGGGGAUUGGCCUGUGUCAAAUGCUGCCUCCGACUGCACUUUCAAAUCCAAUUAAGAGUGUGAACUUGCGUGGCGUUGCAAAUUAACAGAUAGAUAAACGACAACAGCAGCAACAACAACAACAAGUACAGCAAACAAAAUGACAUUGUCACAUUAAAUGCGAAACAAAGCGAAAAUGUGCAACAGUAGCUAGAGAAAGAGCUAGCUGCUGGUAAGAGUAUGAGGAGCUGGAGAAUGCAGUGAUGGGCCAAGCCCAGCUGCACUUUAGUGUCAAACGCAACCAACCCGAACCCGAACCCAAAUCCAAGCCCGAAGCGGAACCCGAACCAAAACCUGAACCAAGUUAAAGGCAACUCACAUCACGGCUAUGCCUCAUUACAAGAACUGCUUCUGGGUUCUGCGCGGCGGCAGCAGCUGCAAUUAUCACAUUGCCAAAUGGUCACGGACCACGAAAUCUCGAUUUUCAGAUAGAACCCAAGCACAAGCAUACAUGAACCCCGACAGCCGAAAGCUGAAAGCCAAGCGAAGCAUUGCACCACACCAUGACUUCAUAAGAUGACUGAAUGCUACUCUAGAGCGAAACAGUACCUAGCUCCCUAUGUUCCACCUCCUGCAGUCUCUAUACUCCUGGUUUUUUGUUUGGUUUUUUUUCUUCCACCUUGUGUGCCAUAAUUCUCGCCAAGUUGACAUUUAUGAUGUGUGCGCAUGUGAUUUUCAACGUUCGCGAUUUCACUGCGAUAAAACAAUGAAAAUAAAGUCAUGACUUGGCUUCCCGCAUGGUUUCCUUGCUUGACUACUCCCAGCCAAGUGUUAAAUAA